rnacentral:rRNA from 1 species
UACGUAGGGUGCGAGCGUUGUCCGGAAUUACUGGGCGUAAAGAGCUCGUAGGUGGUUUGUCGCGUUGUUCGUGAAAACCUGAGGCUUAACCUUGGGCGUGCGGGCGAUACGGGCAGACUGGAGUACUGCAGGGGAGACUGGAAUUCCUGGUGUAGCGGUGGAAUGCGCAGAUAUCAGGAGGAACACCGGUGGCGAAGGCGGGUCUCUGGGCAGUGAACUGACGCUGAGGCACGAAAGCCAGGGGAGCAAACGGG